UUCUUCUGACACCGAAUGAUUUCUGGGAUUGGAGAAGAGGCACGCAGACGAGAUAUCACGUGGCUUACACGGAAGUGUUUUCUUCUCUUGGUAGGGUUUAUAUCCCAAAAUGUCCUAGUGAAUAUGAUCCCAGGCUCAAAAUGGAUCAUCCAUUUAUUCAUGAAGCACACGCGUUCGAUGUUCAAUUGGUCAGUGAAAGCUUUUUACAACCAAGAACACAGUUUACCGGAAGCAAAUCUAGAACAUCAGGAAAAAUUGCACCAGAAAAUCACCCCCGAUAACUGAUCAGUCCAGAACGCAACGCCUCUAACCACACAUAGCACGAGCCCUGCUACGCGCAGGUGCUUAGACGGAGCGCUUGUUGGCCGGCUGCCAGUCGCGGGCGCUCUUGGGGCGCUGCACCAGGAAGCCCAUGAUCUGCACCUGCUUCACGUUGUCGAAGGCCACCAGGCGCACGUAGGCGUCCGGGAAGGCCUUGGUGCAGGCAACAAUCUCGCGCAGCACCUGCAUCGGGUCGCGGCAGCCGAACAUGGGCAGCUUCCACAUCGUCCAGUAGCGGUUGUCGUAGUACAGCUGCGGGGGAGGGGGAGAUGGCAGAGGGAAAAGAAUGACAGGAUUAUGUCAGUUGAACUAGGAAGGAAGACAACAAGGGCAGAGCGACCCAAAACCACUGCUGAGCACAAAUGUCUCGUAACCCUCAACUUACGCAGGAGACUGGGCCGAAGCGGACGGUCGACUCGUUCGAGACGUAGGCCUUGUCAGCCUCAGCGAACUCAAGGCAAGGAAUCCAGCCUACAGUUGGUAAUUUUGGAAAGCACGUCUGUAAUUAGGUGAUGGCGAAUCCACAUAGCGCACAAUUGAUGAGCAUAAGCGAGACGCACCGUUGGCGACGAUGUAGUCAACCUGGGCAGCAAUCUGCUCGUCUGUCAGAGGCGGAAGGUAGGAGAAGGUCUCGAACAUCCUGAAAUUGUAAGCAUUGAUAUCAUCAUCCAGGAGGACAGAAGAAUUUUCCUUGCGGAAGGGUCGAGGCCAACAUGUUGAACCACGGCGCUGCUCACUUGUUGUUCACCGGGGUCCAGACCAUCAUCUUGUUAGCCUGGGCUGGAGCAGCAACCGGGGCAGCCUUAACAGCCGGCUUCAGACCGGCAACUGGGCGCACGCUGCUGCGGGCGGGGCGCGCAACAACGGCGGCCACAGACGACUUAGCAACAAUAGCGGCCAUCUCUUCUCUGCUUGAACAGAAAGGUCUCAGAUCUUCAAAGAGUUGCGAACUGAAAUUGCUUCCUGUUACUUUGUCAUGAAUCAGCGACGCCUUCUUGUAUGGUGCGGAUAACUGUACGAUGAUAAAAUGUACGGCUACCUUCAAGCUUAGCCACAGCCUUCUCAGGAACCAAGAGUAUUUGCCUAUAAGGAUAAGGGUUCAUGGACGUGUUGACUUUGAAUGUUAACUCGCUGCUCUGACGCGCAGAUUUGAUAUGCUUGCAAGCCGGCAUCCUUUCCUUAUCAAACCCUAGCUAUGUGGAUAUGUGUAAAUCAAUGCCGACUACACAACUGCAUUGCUUAACUUAAUGUAAGGACACAAAUUGAUGUCCCCAGCCCGGGUAGUAGGUUUCGUCGCAACUGUAUGUCAGUUAUGGCAUUCCUGUAGGCAGCGAGGCUUUAAGGGUCAAGUAUUUGAGGUAAUAUUGUUUAAAAGUAAAUGUCUUGGGAAUCAUCUCGUGCCAUCGAGUGAGUCUACCGCACAGGGAGGGAUACCCAUAUAGUGUUGCACUUGCUUCGCAAUGCAUUCAUUCCCAAGAGAAAGAAGUCUUACGGCAUGCGCCACAAAUUUACACCUUCAGAAACAUGCAAUAACACGUUGUGCUUAUUUGUCUCGAGCAGCACAGCAUGGAGCCCAGAAACCUAAGCGCAUGGUUUCUUGAAACCCCGCAUGCUACAUCAUGUUAAGCUAUUCUCGCAUGUUCGGAACACCUUGUAUAGCUAUUCAACCAGUAUGCUUAGUCCUUAGCUGGUGAUGUCAUGCACGGGAAAAGUCCCUCUGGAGAAAGGGUUUGUCACCCGGGCCAUGCAUUGCGCCCACUCCGACACGCCCUCUGAUCUCUUUCCCUCCGGCGAUCGGUGAAAAACGGGUUUAUAAAACAUAUAACCAUUAUAACGGUACGGUACGGGAGCGCAGGGAACCCCAGGUCAGCACCACCGCUGCACAUGUUGGAAGCAACCGGGAGUGCAAGUGGCGAAGUAUAAGCACUGGAUGGGGCUGCCCUUUUCGGGAGCCGCAGCCGUUAUGUGGCCAACACAUGCUAAGGUUUUCACUCCUCGUUUAGCACAUCGUAAGCUAAUGCAGUUUCGUUUAUGUUGCUGGGCUUUGGAGGCAAACAGAGCACGAAGGGGCAAGUACCAUGUCCCCAGGGGGCAGCGGUUUUGCCACUGUUGUGGUACUAAUAGCCGAAUUGAGGAUGAAAAACACGUGUUAUUGGAAUGCCCAGCCUAUAAGGAUAUUCGUGCUGAAGAGGGAUUCGAUCAUCACCAGAGCAUGUUGGAGGCCAUGCAAUGGGAACCCGCACGUCUGGCGAAGAUGUUGGAACGUACGUGGGCUCACCGAAACUCAAUUACCCCCUUUGGACGCUAGUCUGGGCUGAUGUGCGGUGUUUUCCUUUCCUCCGUGGCUUUUAGGCGUUGUAGUAUUGCCCUUGGGCCUUCGGCUCGUAUGGGUAGUCCUACAGGUACGGGGUCACGCACCCCCAACCAUGUAACACACACACAUGUUUAGUGCCUCUCUGUGCCUCCAUUUCCUGUUUCUUUUGCCCUGCCUAGGGCCGGCCUUGAAUGUCUCUGCGGGCUGAAGUCCCGGCAAAUCCAUAAGCCGCAGAUAUUGAGCAAGCAAGUCCGGGCUACAGCGAGCAGCUGUACCAUUUCGCUGAAAAGGGUGCAAGGCCCCCCAGGUCCUCCAAGCCACACGUCCGUAGGCCGUGUUGCAUUCAAGGAGAUGGCUCGACAUGGCUCCGUCGUACCUGCCCAAUGGUGCAGGAGUGACAUUUGAACGUGUAGAUGGGUACGCGCUGAAUGUCUUCUUUGUCAUUGGUAUCCAAGGGGUCCUUUCCAGGGGAUUUGCAGCUGGAACCCUACCUGUCUUGGGGUUGGGGCGCCGGUCGCUCCUGUUAUCAGCAGGGCCUACACUCUGUGGUGAGAUGGCAGCCGAGGCGACUGAAGGCGAGUUCCAUGGUCAGACCUGAGCACCAUCAUUGGCUAUCUAUCCAUCAUUGGCUAUCCAUCAUUGGCUAUCUAUCUAUCAUUGGCUAUCCAUCUGGCUAUCUAUCUAUCUGGCCCAGAUGAGCUAUAGGGAGUUAGCCCCGAUAACAGUGUUCGGACUAUCGUGUCUAUUCGGACUACCGUGUCAGCCAAGGCAGAGGAAGCCAGGAAGUCUUGCAAGGAAAUGGAUGGACAUAGGAUGACACCUGUCAUCCGUGACUACCGGUUGCGCAUUGAGUAGAUGGUAGCGAUGUCAUGUGUCUUUUCUCUCCGCAUCUCUUUUGCGUGCGAUUUCUGUCGUUAUCCUCGUGUAAAGGCUUCGCUGUUUAUGAUGGACAAAAUCUAACCUUGAUUCGCCAUUACUAACACACUAAUUCGCGAAAACAUUUCUUGAUCUGCGAGCAAAAGCUGACUUGCCUUCGCUGCCUGCCCACCUACCUUGCUGUAGUUUUAUGGGGCGUAUUUGCGCGUCCGUGCCUUUGGGUCACAUGUGCUCUCCCUUCAAACUGCUUGCAACUUGCGGAAUGAUUCAAUCAGAUGAAACGUGGCAGAUACUGGUAAGCUUAAAGUGCAUAGGGUUGUCCAGGAGCAGGCCUGCGAACCCCCUGACGUCCCCGUGUCACAUGAUCUGCACCUGGGGGAGAUUAGCACCGCACGAUGCGCUUAGUCUGUUCAAAAACAAGCUGGACGCCGAACUACAUCACCCAUCACAGGCACAACUGCUCAGCAGCACUCCUUGAUGCAACAGCCUGGAAAAAUUGCACCUCGAACCCACUGCCGACAUGCCGACCAUCCACGCACAUCCACACUCCGAGGCGAUUAGCAACACGCGCAGCUGCUUAGACGGAGCGCUUGUUGGCCGGCUGCCAGUCGCGGGCGCUCUUGGGGCGCUGCACCAGGAAGCCCAUGAUCUGCACCUGCUUCACGUUGUCGAAGGCCACCAGGCGCACGUAGGCGUCCGGGAAGGCCUUGGUGCAGGCAACGAUCUCGCGCAGCACCUGCAUCGGGUCGCGGCAGCCGAACAUGGGCAGCUUCCACAUCGUCCAGUAGCGGUUGUCGUAGUACAGCUGCGGGGGAGGGAGGCAGAAGCAUGAGGAAGUCCAGCUUAGCAUUAAUACUGGAGGGCGGCCCAACCUCCUGUGCCUACAGAAGUGCAUGACAUUACAGGUGAACCACAGAAACGAAUGACUACGUUGCAAUGGCAUGUCUUACUGUUUCUAAACCCCAACUUACGCAAGACACCGGACCGAAGCGGACGGUCGACUCGUUCGACACGUAGGCCUUGUCAGCCUCAGCGAACUCCAAGCAAGGAAUCCAGCCUAAAAGAAGGGAGAUGCCAGCCAGAUAUCCGUCAAGUACUGUACCUUAAUGUGCAGUUCAUAUCCUCCGUACAUGCGCGUGUGUUGCGCACGUGCGGCAACUUAUAUGUGAUGGCAAUAACCCACAACGACGGCGUUGUGGUAAAGCAGCUGGGUCCCGAUCCUACCGUUGGCAACGAUGUAGUCGACCUGAGCAGCAAUCUGCUCAUCGCUCAGGGGCGGCAGAUAGGAGAAGGUCUCGAACAUCCUGCAUAGUUACAAAUAAUUGAAGACGGAAGAGUCUGCAUGCUUUUCUCUCGUUGCAGAGGCAGGAAUUCAUCAUGCAAGAACAAGGCGUAUCAAGCAUCAUGUCCAACGACUCACUUGUUGUUCACCGGGGUCCAGACCAUCAUCUUGUUGGCCUGAGUCGGGGUUGCCACAGGCGUAGCCCUGACAGAUGGCUUCAGAACGGCGACCGGGCGUACGCCGCUGCGUGCGGGACGCGCCACUGCCGUGGCCACCGACGACUUAGCAAUGACUGCGGCCAUUUCUCCUGUCUAUUUGAGAAGUAAGCAACCUUGUCAGACGGAUAAGGAUGGCUCUUCUGCCCAUUAGGUUGCUUCGGUUCUCUUUGUACUGGGAUGAUUGCUGUACUUUUGAUAGAAUGUACGGCGAGCCAACCCGAGCCACGGGUCUCAGGAGGGCCCUGAACAUACGUCAUUAAAUGGCGUAUUGAGGGAUGAAAUGAAUGGUGUCGUUUGUGGAAGACAUUAUUUUAUGGGGCCAAUAAUUGCGGACACAAUGGUUUGUCAGUUUAGCUACCUUAAUGUAUUAGAUAUCAGGUAGAGGUUGAGGCUCCAUGCCUUCUAUGCCACUGCGGCAAGCUGCCCAACGCUUGGGAACAACGUCCGGGGCAUAUAGUUAUGCUCUUUAGGCAAUGGAUUUCCAAUGCGAUAUUGGGCAUGCGGUUGCGGCCGCUACGAUUGAAGAUUAGAUGUGGGAACAUAGCCUGGGAAGGAGCGAGUUCUUUGGAAUGGCUUAACCCCUGACAGGAUACUGAGCCCUCCAUGUAACACCCAUGCUUAGAUGCUCGCUUAAACAUGGCAUCCAUGGGCAUACCAAUGAAUUUUGCAACUGCAACUGCGAAUGUUUGCUGGAUUGUUGCGGUAUAGUUGGCCUAUCAGUUGCAGCCUGCCAUACCCCAACUUCCAACCCUUGUUGAUCGCCGACUCAGACAGCAAGCUACCUUGUUCCCUGGAUAGGCUGCUACGGAUCACACUGUGCUCCGGCAGUUCUUUCGUUGGCUUAAAUAAUAUGAGUUCCACAGUUUUAAGGCUUGUCAUGUCACUAUUGCGAGCGUUGGAAAGUCAUCCCCUUAGCCUUCUUGUGUGUACUUUCGGCUUGCGCCAUGUCUUGGAAUCGCAGAAGGUGGGCACUCAUUGUGGGCAGCAGUGUCGGCUGCUCCUCCGGCUAACGGCGCUGUGCAUGCAAUACCUUCUUAACGGCUCCUUGUUUUCUUCCUUGGCAGCUUUCGAGCUAAUCGUUACAUUCAUUAGGUUGUGCGGCUAUAGCCGCAAAGUAAAAGUAUCGUCAAUAAUUUUCUUCUCUGGAUUGUCAAAAACCCGGAUAACACGCGUCAGGACCAUCACUUCAGGCAACCGUAGCGUUAAAUGAGUUAUUCAUGGCGCUUGAAGUUUGUGACAGCUCGGUUGCACCACCCAUCACAAGCGCAGCUGCUCAGCGAGCACCUUCGACGCAACAGCCAGGAAAAAUUGCGCCAGUUGCCUGCCCACGAUCAACUUAAGCCAACUCUGUACACACAUUCAUGCCCAGAACAACACGCGCAGGUGCUUAGACGGAGCGCUUGUUGGCCGGCUGCCAGUCGCGGGCGCUCUUGGGGCGCUGCACCAGGAAGCCCAUGAUCUGCACCUGCUUCACGUUGUCGAAGGCCACCAGGCGCACGUAGGCGUCCGGGAAGGCCUUGGUGCAGGCAACAAUCUCGCGCAGCACCUGCAUCGGGUCGCGGCAGCCGAACAUGGGCAGCUUCCACAUCGUCCAGUAGCGGUUGUCGUAGUACAGCUGCGGGGGAGGGGGAGAUGGCAGAGGGAAAAGAACGACAGGAUUGUCAGUUUGGUCAGCAAGUAAGACAUUUCAGUCAAAAACAGAGCGACCCAAAAACAUUGCUGGGCACAAACGUCUCGUAACCCUUAACUUACGCAGGAGACUGGGCCGAAGCGAACGGUCGACUCGUUCGACACGUAGGCCUUGUCGGCCUCAGCGAACUCAAGGCAAGGAAUCCAGCCUGGGAAAUGGGGAAAUGUUAUAGUAAAAAUCUUUCGGAGACGAUGACGUUGUACGAGAACAAUUUACGCUUGCAUAGCAUCCAACCCCAUCCUGAGAUAGCAUUGGAACGAGAGAAAAAGCGGGUCAAGAUCAUACCAUUAGCAACGAUGUAGUCGACCUGAGCAGCGAUCUGCUCGUCGGUCAGAGGGGGCAGGUAGGAAAAGGUCUCGAACAUCCUGCAAUGCAAAUCCAAUCACUCAAAAUUAUAAAGGUUAGGUAGAUUAUUGAACAACUCAAAGGAUUCACAAAAUAUCAAAUCACAGCCAUAAGCAACAAUGUACAGCGACUCACUUGUUGUUCACCGGCGUCCAGACCAUCAUCUUGUUGGCCUGGGCCGGAGAAGCCACAGGAGCUGCCUUAAUAGCCGGCUUGAGGACGGCGACCGGGCGCACGCUGCUGCGAGCUGGGCGCACCACAGCGGUGGCCACAGAUGACUUAGCAACAAUAGCGGCCAUUUUCCUCCUUAGUGAGAAGUAUGCGAUGACUGAGCUGGUGAGAAUGAGACUACUUCUGUCAACUUCAGUGCCGUUGCUGCCUUUUGUACCAAGGGGGCUACACCUGUACCACGAUAAACUGUACGACAAAAGGGAACGGUAGCCAGGAGUUCCAAAGAGGGUUAAAUGAAUGUUAUAUAAGCUAGUAAGUAUUAAAUUUCUGUGCAAAGGAUAGAUGCCCAAGUCUUGGAUGAGGCGAACUCGGCCGCAUGUACGAUAUGGCUGACACAUGUGUCAGCUGAAUUCUGAGCGUUUGAAAGGUUCUAACGCCAGAAUUUUACACAAGGAAUGUUAUGCGAUGCAAAAUUCGAAAGGAUGGCUUGGGCUCCGGGGUGAAAUAUUAAACCUGAGGGCUUAGGUAGCCGUUUCCCAGGUUUGUUCCAUCUUGCAGUCUCAUGGUGCACCGCGCUGUCAAAAGGUAUUAAGGGUAGUUCCGCCCGCAUCGAAAAUUUCGAAAUCGAGAUAUCAACAUUGUGUUUCCAUCUUGCCUUGUAAGCCCCCUGCCGUGGGGCCUCGAAGACGCAGGUCCCGAAAGGAUAUUAUGCCUUCAGAGGUUUGGGGGACGUUUAAAAUGAUUCUGGGUCGCUGGUUAAUAGUACCGGCCCCUCCGCAUGGCAGACGCCUUGACGAACGGCAUGAGAGGACUUCCAACAUAUUACGCGUCUGUGAUAUGCCGUGCCAAAAUCCUUGCCGCAACGCCAAUCAAUACCCUUCCAGGCCACGCGUGGACCUUUAGUGGCCUUCGACAGGGGGUUAUGACCUAGAACUGCAAUAAUACGUGGCUCUAGGCAACUUGGUUUGGUGGUUUGGUUUGGUGGCUUUAGCGCUGGGGUAGAGGCGAGGCCGAGGGAGCUAGUUGCGUACGAGUGCCCACCGGAGAUCGGGUGCCAGCCACGAUUUCUAACGGCUACCUUGCCUCGACAUUGGCUGCGAGCGAUCCUUAUGUGGUUCUCAAUCUCGCAGAUAAAUCUUUUUAGUUUAGCGGGACAGGGCAGGUCACAGGAUGACGAUGGGAGCUAAGUGAAUGGCUUGUCGCUCCGGCGACCACCACCCUGAGGACGGCUUCCUGCCGGUCGUUCCCGUUCGUUGAGCAGUGCGUCGCGGCCUCCCCCUGCGAACUGGACUAGGCCACAGUGAUACAUUAAGGUUGGGAUUCCUGUAGAUCCGUUUCUAGCUUGUUGCCCAGAUCCAGAAGGCGCUAAUAGGACAGCGUCAACCUGCUGUAAAAAUCGCUUAAAGCUUAAGUUGAUACCAUACAACACCAACCAGGGACACCAACGCAUAGCCAUUAACGUAGGAAAGUGAGGCAAAGCUGAAAGCAUUACAGCGGCUUCCCGGGAACGUACACUUGCCGAGCCUUGCCUACAUCGGGUCUCGCCUUGUGAGCAGCUAAGCUUAUACCACGCCAUUCGCGGUUCAUUGCCUGGGUCGCUUACUCUCCGUAGCCUGCUGGUAGGGGGAUAAGCAGAGUUAUGUGGCUUGCAAAGCUGCGCUGGACGAACUUGCUCCUGCGGGACAUUCCUGCCGCGUGGCUAGAAGCAGCACGACUGGCUAACCCCUUGACACAAGGUGUGCGACUGCAGCUGCCGCUCGAGGACAACGAUACUGAGCUUCGAAUCACUUAGUUGGUGUGGAAGCUUCCCAACAAUAGCAAGGUGGCGCUGAGGAAAUGGUGGCGUACGGAUGUGCACAUGUACGGACGCGACGGCUGAGGUGGACUGUCUGUCUGUGAAACAGGGGGGUAUAUCUUCACCAGUGGCAGCUACCCUGCGAAACCCUGCCUUCCCCGGUAUUUCGGGACAUCCUCAUCCAGUCACCCUAGUCAACUUCUCAGUGGAUCGCUCAGGUUCCGCACCCACCACCAGCAUCCAACGGAAUCAGCCGGGCCGUCAGCAGCCCAACUCCAUUCCUGGUCGGCGCGCAGGUUAACUCUAUCCCAGAUCACCACCGUCCAACAACUAGGGGCGCAAUACAUUCUACCAGCGGACGGAUUUAUGACCCUGAAAGAACUCGAUCCCGGAAUCUCCCGGGGGCAAUGGUCGCGCGUUACCAGUAGAGCCUAACCUAUGAAUGGAAUGUCUGUAUGUCGCAGAUUCCUGGGGGUUGGGAGCAGAUGUGGAGGAGGUGCAGCUCGACGCCAUGCUGUAAGGGCAUGACAAAUCAAUGGUCGUCAACACUGAGCGCCUGAACGGCUUCCAGUUGACAGUUUUCCCGUCAGAUCCUUAACACAUGAACGGUGUGACCAUUCCCACAGGGGGAACGCUGGUAGGUGGCAUAGAUGAGUUUAUCUUAGCCCCAAAUCGCGGCCGUGCCUAAUGGCCUAGAGAAUCCAAUUAUACUUGCUGGAUGGGAGACAGAUGGGAAACACUCGUUGCUAAUUGCUAUCCAAGCCGCGCUAAGGGAUCUUGGUACCUUAUUGGCUUUGGCACCUCUCUGCACCUCCUAUGCAGCUUUUGUGGGCGGGCAGCGCGGGUAAUUCUGCCGGAUCCAUCCCAACUUGAUUCAUUACAUGUAUUUACGAGCACAAAAGUCGAGUAUUAAUCAAUAGUCAAUAUUCACUAAAUUCUUCCAAUGAGCUGACCUUCAUGUAAACCGAACGGCCAGCACCGCCCUUCCUGCUAUCUGCUCCGAGAGGGCAAAACAUACAUAAGAACUGCGCUGACCAUACGAAACUGUCGAGCGACAUCCAAAAUACCAAGGUAAGCCAUCUAUGUCGCCAUCUAAUCGGGUCGAGGCAUUUAAUCUUCUCUGAACAUCAUUAAGAGAAGAUGUAUCUCCUAACAGGCAGCCCGAAGCAUAUGUCAUUAUUAGCGGAUGGAAUUUUUCCUAAUGAAUGGUUCACUACGAACAGCUGCUGAGCCAGCAUCCCUUGAUGCAACAGCAGGGAAAAAUUGCACAGGACAUGCUGGCAUAAAACCAUGCGAGCGCAUCCACACUCCCGAGGCGAUUAGCAACACGCGCAGCUGCUUAGACGGAGCGCUUGUUGGCCGGCUGCCAGUCGCGGGCGCUCUUGGGGCGCUGCACCAGGAAGCCCAUGAUCUGCACCUGCUUCACGUUGUCGAAGGCCACCAGGCGCACGUAGGCGUCCGGGAAGGCCUUGGUGCAGGCAACGAUCUCGCGCAGCACCUGCAUCGGGUCGCGGCAGCCGAACAUGGGCAGCUUCCACAUCGUCCAGUAGCGGUUGUCGUAGUACAGCUGCGGGGGAGGGAGGGACGGAAGCAGAAAAAAAGUAUGUUUAGCGACGGCGCAAGAAAAAGUGGUCAAGUCCCGAUAGGCUAUGGAAUACCUAACAGCGGAGUUGAAAUGAUGACCAUCCCUUUCGCCGUAUACCCCAACUUACGCAGGAGACUGGGCCGAAGCGGACGGUCGACUCGUUCGACACGUAGGCCUUGUCGGCCUCAGCGAACUCAAGGCAAGGAAUCCAGCCUGAUACAAAAGGGGGACAUCCGAGAGUGUACAAACUUGCAAACCAUUGCCCAUACAACCCAAGCUGAAGCCCAAACUCCGAUUGGAAGGCAACAUUGACCCUUAGGAAUGUUGCCUUACCAUUAGCAACGAUGUAGUCAACCUGAGCAGCGAUCUGCUCGUCAGUCAGAGGGGGCAGGUAGGAAAAGGUCUCGAACAUCCUGAAAGAGAAAACAAGUUGUGAACAUAAAACGUGUAAGCAAGCGGAAAGAAAAGCGUUUGGCAGUACAAAUAUAAGACAAAACAAAAGAAAUCGCAAGACAAGUACCGACGUGAUUAGGCAAAUACCGACGUGCCGUUCAUGAAAGACAUUCCUAAUCUCGCUUCAGGGAUACAGAAUCAAGGUAAUUUAGUAGAUUGUGCAGUAGAAAAGGUGCAGCUACUCACUUGUUGUUCACCGGGGUCCAGACCAUCAUCUUGUUAGCCUGGGCCGGAGCAGUGACCGGGGCAGCCUUGACAGCCGGCUUCAGAGCUGCAACAGAACGCUGAACGCUGUUGCGGGAUGGGCGCGCCACUGCGCUGGCCACAGAUGAUUUAGCAACAAUAGCGGCCAUUUUGGGAUAUGAUUUAAAUGUUUAAGAAUCACUAAUAUAUUAAUUGUAUGCUUAAUUGUGAUCACAGCUGAUUGCUUUUGUAUUGUGAUGAUCUGUACCACGAUAAAACGUACGGCAGCGUUGAAGCCUUGGCACGGACUUCCCUGGGGCUAAUGUUUUAAUCUUGGAGAGCAUAUUCUGAUAACCUUUGCAUUUCAUCAGGUCUAGGGCUUCAGUCGGAGAAAGCUCGGUCCUUAAGGUUCUCAGCCUUGGUCAUAAGGAUAAGGUUUUCGAUGCCGUUUGCUAGUGCAUAAGGUACAACUACCAUUAAGAAUCAAGUAAUUUGCUCAUUGCGGCAGAAAACGUGGUGUUGCACUAUAUAGCCUGUCAAUGGCUUACGAAGGGCGAAGUGCCGUCAGACCUUUAUGGCCAUUCUGAGUGGCCAGCCCAUACUUGCAAACAAUGAGAAUGUCCAUACUUGAUUCGGAAAGUAACAAUUUCUGGCAGUUAGUGGUCAAAGCCUCGCCCGUGGAGCUCAAUUUGAGGAUAGACAUUGUGUUGUGUUUUCAAUUUCAAGUGUUCAUGGAUUCCAUUACAAACUAUUUUGGGACAGUUAAGAGUCACCAUGAGGGCAGAUCGCUGCAACCGCUUCUUUCGUCCGAAUGGAUGAGCCUUUAAGUUCUAUACAAAGGCCGUGCAAGGGUCAAUAUCCAUACCUGUGCUGAACGAAGCGACGCCUCAGUACUGGGCACCGCAGGCGGCCAUUGCUCAGAAUGCUCUGGAUCAAGAGUUUUAGGCAUCGUCUUCUGGCCCAGCAGCGGUUGUGAUUUUCGUAUUACUGCUGCGGCAAUGGGGAGCUGUUUCACUGCAAUUGGGCUUGGUCUAGAACACGUACAAACACGGAUUUAUAGGGUCGCAUAAGACUGCAACGUCGUCCAACGACGUGGUUUUGUUGCAGCGUUUACAACACCAACGUUUGCGCGAGAGAUGUGUGUAGGAAAACAUGUGUGUGUGUGUUUUUGUGUGUGUGUUUUUGUGUGUGUGUUAGUAUAGUGGGCUGUCGUAUUUCCCUCAAGAUGUUUCACUUAAGCCCAAUCUCAAGUUCAUCUGCAGCGCUAAGUUUCCAUCUUCCCUCAUUAAUCGAGUAACGUUACAGUUUAUCCCAUCACCUCGAACCAUGGCCGCAGAAAUAGGAGGGGCGCGUACCUAAUAGUAUUAGCGCGUUAGGAAAACCCGCACUUAUCACAAUUAAGUCAUGCCAGGAUGGGUUGUUAGCAUGCGUCCUCAUAACGCGCCCCGCCUACGCCUCCUACGUGUCUAAUCGUCACCCACACAUUCAAACCACUAAUCCCCCAAGCCGUCUAUUCGGUCAGUCAUCGUCAAUAUUUCUUCACUGAGCAUGGCUACUAUACCUAGUAGAAACUUCAAGGCAUCAUCCCACGACUGGAAAACCGCCGGAUCCCACGUUUAUUGCUGGCGUACACACACACUCAUGAAUGGCUAGUUAUCGGUAAAAAUUAGAAUGCAUCAACUCUGCACGCAACCUACAAUCAACCAACUGAAAAAACAUUUGCACCAGAAACCUGCUUCCUGUACGUGUACGAUAAACCGACCAAUUCUUCCGAUAUGCCGGCCAUGCGUGCGCAUCCACACUCCCGAGGCGAUUAGCAACACGCGCAGCUGCUUAGACGGAGCGCUUGUUGGCCGGCUGCCAGUCGCGGGCGCUCUUGGGGCGCUGCACCAGGAAGCCCAUGAUCUGCACCUGCUUCACGUUGUCGAAGGCCACCAGGCGCACGUAGGCGUCCGGGAAGGCCUUGGUGCAGGCAACGAUCUCGCGCAG
rnacentral:lncRNA from 1 species